ACUUAGAAAUCAUGCUAUUAAUGUGUAGGUUGAAAUUCAAGUUAGUAUCAAGAAUAACACCCAGAUCUAUAACUGAGUCAACUAAUUGUAACCUAGUGUCCCGUAUAAAGUAAGAAUUAUUCUCAAAGUGUCUUAGUCGAGUAAAAGUUAUAGCAUGGCAUUUGUUUGCAUUUAAGUCCAUACCAUUAAGUGAGCACCAUUCCACAAGACCAUUAAGUUCUGAUUGCAAAUUGUAGUGAUCCAAAUCAGAGGUAAUUAUGUGAAAUAAUUUAAGGUCAUCAGCAAAUAGAAGAAAUUGAGCAAAA
rnacentral:lncRNA from 1 species